rnacentral:lncRNA from 1 species
AUUUUCUAGGUCUUCCCUCAAAUCCCAAGUUUUUCUACAAUUUUCAUGCGCAAAUCCACACAUAAUUGAUAUAUUCAACUCAACAUAGGUGGGGAUAACUUACCUCUUCAUUGAUGAUGAAAAUAUUCUCUAAACAUCCUCCAAGCAUCGCCCCAAGCAAAGAAAAUAUGAUGAGAAAUGGACAAAAUCGGGUUUUAAACAACAUUCUGCCCCAGCUCUUUCC